rnacentral:rRNA from 1 species
UACGUAGGGUGCGAGCGUUGUCCGGAAUUAUUGGGCGUAAAGAGCUCGUAGGCGGCUUGUCGCGUCGGAUGUGAAAGCCCGGGGCUUAACCCCGGGUCUGCAUUCGAUACGGGCAGGCUAGAGUUCGGUAGGGAGAUCGGAAUUCCUGGUGUAGCGGUGAAAUGCGCAGAUAUCGGGAGGAACACCGGUGGCGAAGGCGGUUCUCUGGGCCUGACCUGACGCUGAGGAGCGAAAGCGUGGGAGCGAACAGG